UCCUGGCUCUGAUGAGGGACGUUAUUUAGUGACGUAAUACGCAGCCGCUCUCCCCACAGACGCUGCUGUUGUGCACUGUGCGUCGAAUGCUGUCUGAUGAGCCCCUUCUGGAAUACGGCCAUAUGUUUAACGAAUGGUGGUUCUGUCGCAAGCUCCAAAACAUGGUGGAGUGCGAACACUGGAUUGAUAAACUUGGGUGGUGAUUCAGCUCCAACUGUCUGGACCAGUUAUGGGAGGAAAGUGACAUUACUUACUACCUUCAUCUCCUGCUCCGAGUGGAUGUCAGGCCAGACGUUUCCUGUCCUGCAGGGAUCCAGUUGUGUCUUUGUGUUGUUUUUUUUUUUUUUUUUUUUACAGCAUGGACUGCUCCGGGCCACGGCUGACGGAGAAUCUGUGACAUGCAGGUGCAGACACCCCCCGCCCCCUUUCCCUUCUUCAUUUCAGAACCACAUUUCAUGACGGCAGGAAUCCUAAAUCACUGGGAGGCAUCGGGGACUCGUGAGAUGAGGGCGGAUCUGGACCCCAUCAGAGGAAGCGUUUGUCUGAAUCGUCCGUCUUCUGCUCUGGUGGAAGCAUUAUGCUCUGCAUGUUCUGUUUUAAAGCAGUUUUCUGUUUGCAAUAAUCUCUUUAUACUGGGGAAGCUUUUUUAUGUCUUCAUGGCAUUGUGAUUUGUAAAUAAUGUAUCUACAGGAGACAUAAGUAUCCACUCGGGGGUGUCAGAAUCCAGGGAGCCGGUGUCCUACAUGUUUUCCAACCGACCUGCCAUUGAAGCUCCUUAUUGGCUUAACACACCUGAUCCAGUAUUCCAGCCCACCUUCACCGAGGAGAAGAUUGAGACGGUGAAAGGAGUCUGAAGGGACGCCAUCUUGGCAGCUCUCCUCCCGAGCCAGACCCGGAGGCUGCGGGUCUUUGGCCGCUGGACAGACGGGGCUCGGCGAGGAAAAAAAAAGGCGGCCAGCUGGAGCGCUAACAGAGUAGUAUUGUGAGCUGACUGACUGACAGACGCCUCAGUGGAGCGGAGCCAUGAAGCGGCCGGGGUGGCCUCUUUCGGGCUCAACACUGGACCCCCCACCGUAUGUAAGUGGGUCAGGGAGACACCAGGCCACAGUCCAACAUGAAACACGCACUCAGCUGACAUGAAAGGCUUAAAAGAGGGAAAAAUAAUCAGAAACACACAAGUUGUGAAGAGAUUUUACUCCCUAAAGGCCAGAUGAAAGCACAAUUCUAAGAACUCAGGAUUUUAGAAAAAAAGCUGAAUUGAUGAUAAAAAUAAUGAUUUUCAUUUGGGUAAAAAAUCCUGAACAGAGGCAGUAUCUCUGUCUGCCAGAAGGAGGUGGUGUUCUCAUUCAGUGCACACCUCCAUCCUUCCCAGCAUCCAUUUUGCAUCCAAACGUCUGCAGCUCUGAGGCUGCAAAAUGAUCUCCAACAUAAAAAAGGAGCCAGUUAUCUUGGUGUUGAUGUGGGCAUUUUGAAGAGGGCCGCUCUUCCACACCAGAGGAGAAACAACUGCAUCAUAAAAGAAUGUGAGCGAAACGAAGAAAUGUAUGGAAUGUGGGAUGAAAGCCUCCUUCGCCAGCUGUCACACUCCAGAUCUAAAGCGCGUUUGGAAAAACUCUGCAAAGCCUCAUUUAGGAGUUUGUUCUUGGAACUGUGACCACACGACAUAGAAGAGUGAGGUGGUCUGACCUGCCCAGAAGAUCUGCCUGAGCGCUGAGCUGAGAAUGCCUCAUUUCCUAAAGCGCACACACAAGAUACCCCAAAGCAGAUUUUCUGACACGGGAAUUCGGGAAAAACACAUUCCACCGCAGGCCGUUAGCAGACGGCAGGGUCAUGCUUUACAUCUGUGCUGACUUUUUGUCAGAGCAUCAAGUGUCUUUUUGCUCCUUUUGAUCCGAAACACGUCUAGUGUGGGUUCUCCCACAGUGCACCACAGUCGGGAAUCCAUUCACUUACAUCCCUGAAAGUCUAAAAAGUGAAAAACCUCCAUUGGGACAAGUCUUCAGGAUAAAAACCUGUGUUGGGAAAACUCAAUGGGACAAGUUUACAGGACUAAAAACCUCCAAUGAGAACACAACAGGAGAAAAGUCUCCAUUGGGACAAGUAUACAGGGCAAAAAUGUUCCUUUGGGACAGGUUUACAAGACAAAAACCUCUAUUUGGGGUAAGUCUACAGGAUAAAAAACCUGUGUUGGGACAAUUCAAUGGUGCAAAAAGCCCCAUUAGGGCAAGUCUAAAGGUCAAAAACCUCCAUUGAGACAACUUUACAGGACAAAUGUUUCAAUUGGGACAGGUAUACAGGACAAAAACCUUCAUCAAGACAACUUUACAGGAGAAAAGUCUCCAUUUUGACAAGUAUACAGAGCAAAAAUUUCCUUUAGAACAAGUUUACAGGACAGGAACCUUCAUUGGGGCAGGCCUACAAAGCCAAAACCUCCAUUAGAGGAAAUCUGCAAAGCCAAAACCUCCCUUGGGGCAAGUCUACAAAACCAAAACCUCCAUUAGGGCAACUGUACAGACCAAAAAUCUCUACUGCAGAGCCAAAUCCUCCAUUCUAGAAUGUCUACAAAGCCAAACUGCCAUUGGGGUAAUUGUAUGGAGCAAGAACCUCAAACUGGACAUGUCUACAAAGCUAAAAAUACCCUAUGAGGCAAGUGUACGAAGAAAAAAAUUCCAUUGCGGUGAAUCUACGGAGCAAAAACUUAAAUCAAGGCAAGUUAACAGAGUAACAACCUCAAUAAGAAACCUGGUCUUUUUGUUCCUAGGUUAUAGGAACAAUAAAGUUGCCGCUACCUCUGGCCGAUUGUAUGAUAGCCUGUGAUAUGCGGCCUCUAAGAACAUUUUCCUGUCUUGGAUCAGCAACAAGCCUCCCUCCAAAGCAAACUACCAUACACCUGUCAUUGAACUUAUUCCUCUGGAAUACUUGACCUGUUUGCUCCACUCCAUAAAGAAUCAUUUUGUAAACAUAUUGACCCCCUACCACCUUACCAGUCGCAAGACAGCCUCCAUACUAAACAGUGUAAUUAUUUGCAUCUUUUUUUCCUCAAAUUGUCAUCUUUAAUCCUCUAAGAAGGAAUUUUAUUUCUGAUUGAUGUAACUGUGGAUCAGUGUUGUACUGAGCUAUGUGUUGUGUUAAAAUAUCCUGUGAAGUUAAUAAAAAUAUUUGAGAAAAAAAGAAAACCUUGGGGUGC